rnacentral:rRNA from 1 species
UACGUGGGGUGCAAGCGUUAUCCGGAUUUACUGGGCGUAAAGCGUACCGUCGGCGUCUUGACAAGUCUUCCGUUUAAUCCUGGGGCUCAACUUCAGAUCAGCGGAGGAAACUGUCGAGAUUGAGUCUGUUCGGGGGAACUAGAAUUCUCGGUGGAGGGGUGAAAUCCGUAGAUAUCGAGAGGAAUACCAGUCGCGAAGGCGGGUUCCUAGAACAUGACUGACGCUCAGGGACGAAAGUCUGGGUAGCAAAAGGG